rnacentral:rRNA from 3 species
UUAAGUUAGAAAGGGCGCACGGUGGAUGCCUUGGCACUAGGAGCCGAUGAAGGACGGGACGAACACCGAUAUGCUUCGGGGAGCUGUAAGCAAGCUUUGAUCCGGAGAUUUCCGAAUGGGGAAACCCACCACUCGUAAUGGAGUGGUAUCCAUAUCUGAAUACAUAGGGUAUGAGAAGGCAGACCCGGGGAACUGAAACAUCUAAGUACCCGGAGGAAGAGAAAGCAAAUGCGAUUCCCUGAGUAGCGGCGAGCGAAACGGGACCAGCCCAAACCAAGAGGCUUGCCUCUUGGGGUUGUAGGACACUCUGUACGGAGUUACAAAGGAACGAGGUAGAUGAAGAGGUCUGGAAAGGCCCGCCAUAGAAGGUAACAGCCCUGUAGUCAAAACUUCGUUCUCUCCUGAGUGGAUCCUGAGUACGGCGGAACACGUGAAAUUCCGUCGGAAUCCGGGAGGACCAUCUCCCAAGGCUAAAUACUCCCUAGUGACCGAUAGUGAACCAGUACCGUGAGGGAAAGGUGAAAAGCACCCCGGAAGGGGAGUGAAAGAGAUCCUGAAACCGUGUGCCUACAAGUAGUCAGAGCCCGUUAACGGGUGAUGGCGUGCCUUUUGUAGAAUGAACCGGCGAGUUACGAUCCCGUGCAAGGUUAAGCAGAAGAUGCGGAGCCGCAGCGAAAGCGAGUCUGAAUAGGGCGAAUUGAGUACGUGGUCGUAGACCCGAAACCAGGUGAUCUACCCAUGUCCAGGGUGAAGUUCAGGUAACACUGAAUGGAGGCCCGAACCCACGCACGUUGAAAAGUGCGGGGAUGAGGUGUGGGUAGGGGUGAAAUGCCAAUCGAACCUGGAGAUAGCUGGUUCUCUCCGAAAUAGCUUUAGGGCUAGCCUCAAGGUAAGAGUCUCGGAGGUAGAGCACUGAUUGGACUAGGGGCCCCUACCGGGUUACCGAAUUCAGUCAAACUCCGAAUGCCGAUGACUUAUCCUUGGGAGUCAGACUGCGAGUGAUAAGAUCCGUAGUCGAAAGGGAAACAGCCCAGACCGCCAGCUAAGGUCCCAAAGUAUACGUUAAGUGGAAAAGGAUGUGGAGUUGCUUAGACAACCAGGAUGUUGGCUUAGAAGCAGCCACCAUUUAAAGAGUGCGUAAUAGCUCACUGGUCGAGUGACUCUGCGCCGAAAAUGUACCGGGGCUAAACGUAUCACCGAAGCUGCGGACUGUUCUUCGAACAGUGGUAGGAGAGCGUUCUAAGGGCUGUGAAGCAAGACCGGAAGGACUUGUGGAGCGCUUAGAAGUGAGAAUGCCGGUAUGAGUAGCGAAAGAGGGGUGAGAAUCCCCUCCACCGAAUGCCUAAGGUUUCCUGAGGAAGGCUCGUCCGCUCAGGGUUAGUCGGGACCUAAGCCGAGGCCGAAAGGCGUAGGCGAUGGACAACAGGUUGAUAUUCCUGUACCACCUCCUCACCAUUUGAGCAAUGGGGGGACGCAGGAGGAUAGGGUAAGCGCGGUAUUGGAUAUCCGCGUCCAAGCAGUUAGGCUGGGAAAUAGGCAAAUCCGUUUCCCGUGAAGGCUGAGCUGUGAUGGCGAGCGAAUUAUAGUAGCGAAGUUCCUGAUUCCACACUGCCAAGAAAAGCCUCUAGCGAGGUGAGAGGUGCCCGUACCGCAAACCGACACAGGUAGGCGAGGAGAGAAUCCUAAGGUGAUCGAGAGAACUCUCGUUAAGGAACUCGGCAAAAUGACCCCGUAACUUCGGGAGAAGGGGUGCUCUGUUAGGGUGCAAGCCCGAGAGAGCCGCAGUGAAUAGGCCCAGGCGACUGUUUAGCAAAAACACAGGUCUCUGCGAAGCCGUAAGGCGAAGUAUAGGGGCUGACGCCUGCCCGGUGCUGGAAGGUUAAGAGGAGCGCUUAGCGUAAGCGAAGGUGCGAAUUGAAGCCCCAGUAAACGGCGGCCGUAACUAUAACGGUCCUAAGGUAGCGAAAUUCCUUGUCGGGUAAGUUCCGACCCGCACGAAAGGCGCAACGAUCUGGGCACUGUCUCAACGAGAGACUCGGUGAAAUUAUAGUACCUGUGAAGAUGCAGGUUACCCGCGACAGGACGGAAAGACCCCGUGGAGCUUUACUGCAGCCUGAUAUUGAAUGUUGGUACAGCUUGUACAGGAUAGGUAGGAGCCUUGGAAACCGGAGCGCCAGCUUCGGUGGAGGCAUCGGUGGGAUACUACCCUGGCUGUAUUGACCUUCUAACCCGCCGCCCUUAUCGGGCGGGGAGACAGUGUCAGGUGGGCAGUUUGACUGGGGCGGUCGCCUCCUAAAAGGUAACGGAGGCGCCCAAAGGUUCCCUCAGAAUGGUUGGAAAUCAUUCGCAGAGUGUAAAGGCACAAGGGAGCUUGACUGCGAGACCUACAAGUCGAGCAGGGACGAAAGUCGGGCUUAGUGAUCCGGUGGUUCCGCAUGGAAGGGCCAUCGCUCAACGGAUAAAAGCUACCCCGGGGAUAACAGGCUUAUCUCCCCCAAGAGUCCACAUCGACGGGGAGGUUUGGCACCUCGAUGUCGGCUCAUCGCAUCCUGGGGCUGUAGUCGGUCCCAAGGGUUGGGCUGUUCGCCCAUUAAAGCGGUACGCGAGCUGGGUUCAGAACGUCGUGAGACAGUUCGGUCCCUAUCCGUCGCGGGCGCAGGAAAUUUGAGAGGAGCUGUCCUUAGUACGAGAGGACCGGGAUGGACGCACCGCUGGUGUACCAGUUGUUCUGCCAAGGGCAUCGCUGGGUAGCUAUGUGCGGACGGGAUAAGUGCUGAAAGCAUCUAAGCAUGAAGCCCCCCUCAAGAUGAGAUUUCCCAUUCCGCAAGGAAGUAAGAUCCCUGAAAGAUGAUCAGGUUGAUAGGUCUGAGGUGGAAGUGUGGCGACACAUGGAGCUGACAGAUACUAAUCGAUCGAGGACUUAACCAA